GACGCAGCCGGGACGGUAGCUGCGGUGCGGACCGGAGGAGCCAUCUUGUCUCGUCGCCGGGGAGUCAGGCCCCUAAAUCGAAGAAGCCCUGGCGCGCCCUCCCCCCCUCCCGGGUCUGGUAGGGCGAAGGAACGGGCGUGCGGUCGAUCGAGCGAUCGGGCAGAGACAGAUAAUCUCACUUCCAGAGAAAUGACUUGGAGAAAAAAAAGUGUUGGUCUUUUUGCUCUUUUGUAAUUAAAUCCGGAUGUACCUCAAAAGACUUAAGACUGUGGUGAUAAGAUGCUUUCCUCAGCAGAAAGGAGGGAAAAAAAACAACUGGAACUCAAAGCUUGAAAUUCUGUGGCAAAACAUGAGAUGUCCAGGAUUGGAGGUUGAAAAGAUUUCACUACAGUGUUCUGCAAUAGUUGGAGCAGAUAACUUUCAGUGUAGCCACAGCCAUGGACUCCAGAUUUCCAGAUUUUCAAGACCUGGACCUGGAACCCGAAAGAGCUUGUCACGAUGCGGCAGGAACACUGGAGGUAGAUUUUUUUUUAUUUUUGAAUUUUGGGACUGUUGACCUUGCUGUGAGAAAAGAGACAACGACUGAGCAAGCACUACCACCAGCACUGUUACUGGGAAUUAGAAGACCUGAGUUUCUGUCCAGACCCUCAGUGCAAACUGAGGAUGCUCCAUCCAAAGUGAAUUAUGACCUGGUA
rnacentral:lncRNA from 1 species